rnacentral:rRNA from 1 species
UACAGAGGUCUCAAGCGUUGUUCGGAUUCAUUGGGUUUAAAGGGUUCGUAGGUGGCCAACUAAGUCAGACGUGAAAUCCCUCAGCUUAACUGGGGAACUGCGUCUGAUACUGGUUGGCUUGAGUGCAGGAGAGGAAUGCGGAAUUCCAGGUGUAGCGGUGAAAUGCGUAGAUAUCUGGAGGAACACCGGUGGCGAAGGCGGCAUUCUGGACUGUAACUGACACUGAGGAACGAAAGCCAGGGGAGCAAACGGG